GGCUGUCAGUGGAAUGUUGGGGCUCGGAAGGUUCUGUGGUAGUCGGGGUGGGGGCUGGGGGGCUGUCAGCGGAAUAUUGGGGCUCUGAAGGUUCCAUGGCAGUUGAGGGGUGUUGAGGGGCUGUCAGUGGAAUGUUGGGGCUCUGAAGGUUCUGUGGCAGUUGGGGGUGGCUGAGGGGCUGUCAGUGGAAUGUUGGGGCUCUGAAGGUUCUGUGGCAGUUGGGGGUGGCUGAGGGGCUGUCAGUGGAAUGUUGGGGCUCUGAAGGUUCCGUGGCAGUUGGGGGUGGCUGAGGGGCUGUCAGUGGAACAAUGGGGCUCUGAAG